UACGAACCGGACGAACGUUAUUCGGAAUUACUGGGCUUAAAGAGUUCGUAGGCGGCCAAGAAGGUGAGGUGUGAAAUCCCACGGCUCAACCGUGGAAUGGCGCUUCAAACCACUUGGCUGGAGGAAGGUAGGGGUGAGCGGAACUGAUGGUGGAGCGGUGAAAUGCGUUGAUAUCAUCAGGAACACCGGUGGCGAAGGCGGCUCACUGGACCUUUUCUGACGCUGAGGAACGAAAGCCAGGGUAGCGAACGGG
rnacentral:rRNA from 1 species